rnacentral:misc_RNA from 1 species
GAUGAAGAACGUAGCGAAAUGCGAUAAGUAAUGUGAAUUGCAGAAUUCAGUGAAUCAUCGAAUCUUUGAACGCACAUUGCGCCCGCCAGUAUUCUGGCGGGCAUGCCUGUUCGAGCGUCAUUACAACCCUCAGGCCCCCGGGCCUGGCGUUGGGGAUCAGCGGAGCCCCCCGUGGGCACACGCCGUCCCCCAAAUGCAGUGGCGGUCCCGCCGCAGCUUCCAUCGCGUAGUAGCUAACACCUCGCGACUGGAGAGCGGCGCGGCCACGCCGUAAAACACCCAACUCUUCUGAAGUUGACCUCGAAUCAGGUAGGAAUACCCGCUGAACUUAAGCAUAUCAAUAAGCGGAGGA